CUUUAAUAAAUAGAGUGACAAUGGAAUCGGGGUUCAAAAACUCUGCCGAACAAAUGUGAAUUACUUCUUAUAAUUCGAAUGAUUUCAUACUGGCCUAGGGAGUAAAACACAAGCAAACAUGCAAAUAAAUAAAACACAAGUAAAAAGGUGGCGGUUAUGAUCACGAUUCAAAAAUCAGAUGC